GCUCCCAUGGGCAAAUUGGCAAAGUCGCUCGGUUUAGACCCGAGAGUUUGAAGGUUCGAGUCCUUCUGGGAGUACCA
rnacentral:tRNA from 1 species